UACGUAGGGUGCGAGCGUUAAUCGGAAUUACUGGGCGUAAAGCGUGCGUAGGCGGUUCUCCAAGUCCGUUGUGAAAGCCCCGGGCUCAACCUGGGAAUGGCAGUGGAAACUAGGGGACUGGAAUCUGGCAGAGGGGGGUGGAAUGCCGCGUGUAGCAGUGAAAUGCGUAGAGAUGCGGCGGAACACCGAUGGCAAAGGCAGCCCCCUGGGCUGAGAUUGACGCUCAGGCACGAAAGCGUGGGGAGCAAACAGG
rnacentral:rRNA from 1 species